rnacentral:misc_RNA from 1 species
CUUGGUGUGUGUUUGCAUGUCGAAUCCCUGUUUCGGCAGCGAAGGCAUGUACUACACAUCUUUUCAAUGGUUGGCUUCAGCGAAGAUUUGCUUAGGCCUUGUUAGGUUUCUUGUGUUGCAUACCCCUUUAAGGUAUUUGAUUGGCCUAAUUGUUCGAAUUCUUACAUGCACCAAACCUUUCGUGGUUGUGGUGUGAGUUGGACCAUGAAGCGUCCAUAAUGUUCCACUUCCCAUGCGCUUUACUUGUGCUUUGGGUCGUUGGCACCUUAUGGAUUGCUUGAUCUCUCGGAUACGGAAUGCUGCGUGGGUAUGAGGCAUGCUCGCUUCUAUUUACCCUAAAAUUAAGCGUUCGACGCUCUUGCGGACGACUGUUGUUAUCAUUUUGGUUGGGCUCUUGAGGCUCGAACCAUGUGUUAACAACGUCGGUGAGGAA